UAAGUAAGAAGCAAAAUUGCAAUUAGUUUCGACCUAAAAUUAGAUGUUUACUCAUCCUUAUUU
rnacentral:tRNA from 1 species